GACGAACGCUGGCGGCGUGCUUAACACAUGCAAGUCGAACGGAAAGGCCCUGCUUUUGUGGGGUGCUCGAGUGGCGAACGGGUGAGUAACACGUGAGUAACCUGCCCUUGACUUUGGGAUAACUUCAGGAAACUGGGGCUAAUACCGGAUAGGAGCUCCUGCUGCAUGGUGGGGGUUGGAAAGUUUCGGCGGUUGGGGAUGGACUCGCGGCUUAUCCGCUUGUUGGUGGGGUAGUGGCUUACCAAGGCUUUGACGGGUAGCCGGCCUGAGAGGGUGACCGGCCACAUUGGGACUGAGAUACGGCCCAGACUCCUACGGGAGGCAGCAGAGGGGUAUAUUGCACAAUGGGCGGAAGCCUGAUGCAGCAACGCCGCGUGCGGGAUGACGGCCUUCGGGUUGUAAACCGCUUUCGCCUGUGACGAAGCGUGAGUGACGGUAAUGGGUAAAGAAGCUCCGGCUAACUACGUG
rnacentral:rRNA from 1 species